GACGAACGCUGGCGGCGCGCCUAACACAUGCAAGUCGAACGAGCGAGAGAGAGCUUGCUUUCUUGAGCGAGUGGCGAACGGGUGAGUCACGCGUGAGGAACCUGCCUCAAAGAGGGGGACAACAGUUGGAAACGACUGCUAAUACCGCAUAAGCCCACGACCCGGCAUCGGGUUGAGGGAAAAGGAGCAAUCCGCUUUGAGAUGGCCUCGCGUCCGAUUAGCUAGUUGGUGAGGUAACGGCCCACCAAGGCGACGAUCGGUAGCCGGACUGAGAGGUUGAACGGCCACAUUGGGACUGAGACACGGCCCAGACUCCUACGGGAGGCAGCAGUGGGGAAUAUUGCACAAUGGGGGAAACCCUGAUGCAGCGACGCCGCGUGGAGGAAGAAGGUCUUCGGAUUGUAAACUCCUGUUGUUGAGGAAGAUAAUGACGGUACUCAACAAGGAAGUGACGGCUAACUACGUG
rnacentral:rRNA from 1 species